CUAGAGUUCAGACGUGUGCUCUUCCUGUGGAUGGUGUGAGGCCGGUAGCGGCCCCCGGCACGCCGGGACUGGGUCUUCUUGGAGUCGGGUUGCUUGGGAAUGCAGCCCAAAGCUGGUGGUAAACUCCAUCUAAGGCUAAAUACUGGCACGAGACCGACAGUCAACAAGUACCGUAAGGGAAAGU